AACGAACGCUGGCGGCAGGCCUAACACAUGCAAGUCGAGCGCGCCCUUCGGGGUGAGCGGCGGACGGGUGAGUAACGCGUGGGAACGUGCCCUUCUCUGCGGAAUAGCCUCGGGAAACUGAGAGUAAUACCGCAUACGCCCUUUGGGGGAAAGAUUUAUCGGAGAAGGAUCGACCCGCGUUGGAUUAGGUAGUUGGUGGGGUAAUGGCCCACCAAGCCGACGAUCCAUAGCUGGUUUGAGAGGAUGAUCAGCCACACUGGGACUGAGACACGGCCCAGACUCCUACGGGAGGCAGCAGUGGGGAAUCUUAGACAAUGGGGGCAACCCUGAUCUAGCCAUGCCGCGUGAGUGAUGAAGGCCUUAGGGUUGUAAAGCUCUUUCAGCUGGGAAGAUAAUGACGGUACCAGCAGAAGAAGCCCCGGCUAACUCCGUG
rnacentral:rRNA from 1 species